AGUGGCGGACGGGUGAGUAACGCGUGAGAAUCUGCCUUGGGGUCGGGGACCACCACUGGAAACGGUGGCUAAUACCGGAUAAGCCGAUUGGUGAAAGAUUUAUUGCCCGAAGAGGAGCUCGCGUCUGAUUAGCUAGUUGGUGAGGUAAGAGCUCACCAAGGCAGCGAUCAGUAGCUGGUCUGAGAGGACGAUCAGCCACACUGGGACUGAGACACGGCCCAGACUCCUACGGGAGGCAGCAGUGGGGAAUUUUCCGCAAUGGGCGAAAGCCUGACGGAGCAAGACCGCGUGAGGGAGGAAGGCUCUUGGGUUGUAAACCUCUUUUCUCAGGGAAGAAGCUCUGACGGUACCUGAGGAAUCAGCCUCGGCUAACUCCGUGCCAGCAGCCGCGGUAAUACGGAGGAGGCAAGCGUUAUCCGGAAUUAUUGGGCGUAAAGCGUCCGCAGGUGGCGAUUCAAGUCUGCUGUCAAAGCACGGGGCUUAACUCCGUAAAGGCAGUGGAAACUGAAUAGCUAGAGUGCCGUAGGGGUAGAGGGAAUUCCCGGUGUAGCGGUGAAAUGCGUAGAGAUCGGGAAGAACAUCGGUGGCGAAAGCGCUCUACUGGACGGCAACUGACACUCAGGGACGAAAGCUAGGGGAGCGAAUGGGAUUAGAUACCCC
rnacentral:rRNA from 1 species